UGUGUAGACGCCUGCAUCUGUG
rnacentral:misc_RNA from 1 species